UACGGAGGGGGCUAGCGCUGUUCGGAAUACUGGGCGUAAAGCGUGCGCAGGCGGUUCGUUGUGUCCGGUGUGAAAGCCCCGAGCUUAACUGGGAAUGGCAUUGGAAACUGGCGAGCUGGAGUGUGGCAGAGGGGGUGGAAGUUCCACGGUGUAGCAGUGAAAUGCGUAGAGAUGUGGAGGAACACCGAUGGCGAAGGCAGCCCCCUGGGCCAACACUGACGCUCAGGCGACGAAAGCGUGGGAGCAAACAGG
rnacentral:rRNA from 1 species